ACUUCCGGCGCCACCGCCCGAAAUCCGGGUAGCUCUGCAUCCUCGGCGGCGAGAGGGCCGAGUCGCUGAAGGUGCAGGUGGGAGGGCUGGGCUUCGAGGGGAGCACAGAGACUGAAGGUGCGGUGGAACCCCGAGAGGGGCAGGGAUGUGGCGAAGAAUACUUUGAAACUGUUGUCAAGUCCAUUUGUUUUAAGAAAAUGAUAGAUUUACCUGAUCUAAGGAGGUGAGACUGGAGCUGCGUUGGGAGAGGGCCCAGGCUGCUGACAGAUAGACAGACACAAACCGUUCAGGAUUCUUCUCCAGGUUUACAAUCAACCUCAUAGGACUUCAAAAUAAAAACACCAAACAAAACUCCAGUUUCUCCAGCAUCCAGAAUAAAUGGCACAUGGUUGGCAGCCAAACCGCACACAACAGUUUGUCUAGAAAAUUUUGUGACAAGGAACACAAGCUAGCCUUAUUUCCUUUAAGGAUUACUGUUUGCGGUAAUUUCACCACUUCACUUGCUUUUCACUGACACAGGUCCUUAGCUGGCAAGUCAGAAAGCUAGAAACGCUUAAACACCCCAAUUUAAAAAAUGUCUUCUGCAAAUUUACUAGUGCUUAAAACUCAGGGCCAGCCUAGGUGAAGACUUACCUUCCAUGUUGCAUGUUUACAACAUUGAAUUGUUUCUUAGCAAUUUUCCCACACAAGUUAUGUAGCAGGAUGAAAGUCUUAAUUUAUAUUAAACCAGUAUAAACAUGGCCGUAAUUUCCCGCACCAAAGAAAUACAUUUUCAAUCAACACCAUGGUUAUAUUCAUCUUUUAUUAAAGCUAGCUAUAUAGGAUACCAAUUUAAAAUUGGAAUGCAGCUUCUCUAAUGUCAUUAUUGUUUGAGGAGUAGCCUAUUGUCACACAUGUGAGCACUACUGGUACAAUGCAAAAGCAAAGAAGCGGGGGUCCAAAGAAGCCACCUUCCUGGGUGGCACUGGAUGUACAUUUUGGCCUCUCAGUGUACAUUUUGGCCUGUUUACCUUUAUAAACCACACCAUAAAGCAUACAUUUAAACUGAGAAGAAAUAUGUAUGAGAGGAAAGCAUAUUUCAAUGGGCUUCAUGAGUCAAAAAUAACUUCAUAUUUCAUCAUGUUUACGUCAUCAGCUACCCCUUGAGAAAGAAAAGUUCCAUAUAAAUGUGUGAUCUGAGACAUACUUUUAGAAAACCUUAACAGAGAGCUAUGCAAAU